GAGAUUUUUUUUAUUUUCUAGGCAACUUUAUCUUCUGGUAUCACCCAAUAUCCUUCAUCAUCAUGUUCAUUCCUUCAAGAAUCUUUCAUCAAAAUCCAAAAUAUGCUUCUUUUGUUCCUUUGAUUGAUCUUGAUAAUCACAGCAAUGAUUUACUAUGAAGAAUGCUCGAUCGCGGAAUCCUUUUGAAUCUGUUCAACAAUGGUCCGUGUGGUGGGAUGUUAUUGCCUGGUUGGACGUCCCGGCUCCGAGCAGUUUCAUCAACGUUGCUCAAAUGUUGGGUCACUGUACCAGUUUGGGUGGGAAUUAUAAAAAGAAGAGGAUGAUUUAAGCCAUAUUUCUGCGGGUUUCGUGGAGAAUCUGGAAAACUCGCAAUGAUAAGGUUUUCCACAAAAAGCAUAGCUCGGCGCUUCAAUCAUGUAGGGGGUCAAGAAUGAUGGUUUUUGGUGGAUGCAAAAGAUGGGCCGGUCUCUCGGCUGAAUUGGGAUAAUUGGUGUUGUUUGAAAAUCUACACUUUGGGUAAGAAUCAAUGGCAUCAUAGCAGAGGAAAUCAAAUGUGUGCAGGAACCUAUAGAUCAGGUUCUUGGGCAAGCAAAGGUUAGCAUCAUAUACAAGCUCUUGGCUAAGCAAAGGGUGGGUAAAAAGAAACUGCAGUUGGUUGGUUCGGUUGUCAUGCUUUUGGCUUGACGAAGUUUCAGGACCUUUAUCUCUCAUUUCCACCUUUGGCGCAUAUAUUGAUAAGCUGAUGCGUAGCAAUGCUUCAUUAAUCAUAUUGCAUCUAAAGGAUUUUGGUGUUGGGUGAAUGGUCUGAGUUUGAGGUAAAAUUGGUUUGUGAAGAUCUGCGAGCUGCAAUGAUUUAUGAAUGGGUCUGCAACACAUAUCAAUUAAGGCCACAUGUUUUAUGUUUGAAAUUCACAAGCAUGUGGAUGCUAUGUCGCUUUACGAAGAGUAAAAACAUGUCUUCAAGUUUUUGGGAAAUAGGGGGAGUCAACGAUUAUAAAUAUUGAUUGGCUACCAAGCUAUUCACAACUUGGAGGUGCUCUUGAAACUUUCGGUUUUUUAUUUCAUUCACCUACAAAAGAUUCUUCUGACACUGAAAUGUUUUUUGGAGGUUAUUUCGUGUUGAAGAUGGUUACGGGAGAGAGAUUUGUUGCAACGUUUUGAGACCGAAGUCUCACAACAGGAGGCUCAGGGAGAAAGCAUGAAACAUGUAUUUACAGUGGGCAAAAAGGAUGAUAAAAAGCUUACCUUAGUGUCAAAGUAGGUGAGUAUAGAUCAAGAGUAAAUCCAUUCACACCAGAUCUAGUGCUUGACAGAAGCUGAAAAAGAAUAGCAUAUCAAAGUAGGCCC